UUUUAUUUUGAUUAUUAUAUUAUUAUUAAUUAAUCAUUUUUAUUUUAAUAUUAGUUAUUUUUAUUUUUAUUUUAAUUAAGUCGGCCUUUUAAUUUCAUUUUUAUUAUUAAUUUUUAUUUUACUUCUAUGUGUUAUUUUUCACCUUUUUUUAUUUUCUUAUUUUGUAAUUAUUAUUUAAGUAAACAAAAAAAUCAAAAAGAUCUGAAAAUAUCCAAA
rnacentral:lncRNA from 1 species